UCCUGCUGCCGCCGCCUCUCGGGUUCCGCUGUGAGGGCAGCAGGGCGCAGCUGCGCGACGCGGGCGAGGCGAGGCCGGGCCGCGAACAUGUCCUCGGCCGUGGGGCCCCGCGGGCCUCGCCCGCCCACGGUGCCGCCCCCGAUGCACGAGCUGCCCGACCUGAGCCACCUGACCGAGGAGGAGAGGAACAUCAUCAUGGCAGUGAUGGACCGGCAGAAGGAAGAGGAGGAGAAGGAAGAAGCCAUGCUCAACUCCUUCCUGAGCGUUCCUCUAAGGCUGGUGGGAUGGGCCUUGUCCCAGAAUCUGGAACAGUCACCUGAGUGGAGGCUCUGUGCUCCUCCUGGAUGUUUUCACACCUCUUUCGACCAUAAUCUGUUGAGAAUUUUGCAUCAGCUCUUGAGAAACACCACAUUUCUUUACCUUUAGCCCAGGAGGAAGGUGAGUUGAGGCUUUGAAACUGCACUGUCUUCUUUUCUUGUUACAUCGCAUAUUGAUUUCUAAGUCUUAUGUGACCUCAUUUGGAAUAAGCAGUGUGUGGUUGUGUGUGUGUGUGUGCACGUUUCUGUGCGUUGUGUCCACGUUUCCCUGUAUCAUUUCUUUCAGAAGUGGAGAAUUUUGCCAUGCAGCUUUUAGCUCUGGGAAAAGUUUACCCUGUCCUGCCUUAUCAGGCAACCACUUCUGGAAUAACAAGACUGGCCACACGUAGGAUCGGUGUAGUCAGACUCUUAGCCACCUCCAUGACGCAUCUUCACCAAACUCAUACUUGAGAUUCCUGGGUCCUAAGCUGUUUCUAUUAGCCAAAUAUAUGAUGUGGAGUCUCAGUUUUUAACCAAGGUUUCCCUACUCAGAGCUUUGUAUGGCAAUGAUGGCAAACCAUUUAGAGCUUUCAGUGAUAUGCACACUGUGGCAUACAUACCAUAGGUGCACCACUGGCUUAAAGCUUUUGAGCAGAAGGAUCUAGUUCAUCCAAGUAUACUCAGGUGGAAGUGUUUUCUGAAUUUGGCCAAUGAAUCUCUCCAGUGCUCAGUAAGCCCUGUUUACCUGAGAAUAGAUCAGGUCCUGCUGCUCUUUGGGGCUCUGUUGUAUUGUAUACAAUCUGCAUUUAUGUAAUUUAAGAUGAUCUUAAGGCACAACAAGUCCUUUUAUGAUUUUUUCCACAUUUCAGAGAUAUCUUCUUAUUUUACAUACACACGUUUAUAUCUGAAGGAAAUUUUGAGUAUGUCUUGAUACUUAACAGAUCUCUUAUUGUACGCACAGAAAGACCUGUGUGGUGGUUUUAUCAUGUGGAGCAAGAGUCCAUGUCUUUUAGUAAAAUAGCCAAAGCCACAGAAAAUUCUGCUCAAUUUUUAAUAUAUCAACACAACAGCUGUUCCUAUUUUUAAGCUUUCAGAUGUCUUCACAUGGUGAGGUCAAAGCUUUCAAUAGUUUUUCUGCUAUGGGGAAAGCUGCUGACAAUCAUUUUAUUGUUGCUAAAAGGAAAGUCAAAUACAGGGGCCUGAACAGAUUUAUUUGGGUAUAACUGAGCUUUUGGAAGCCCAAGUCAAGGAUUUCUAAUUCCAGGGGCCUCUGAGGGCCCCGUGGUUAAUAUUUAAGGGGCUUGCAAAGACUUUCUGUUAGAUAUGUUUGCAGUACUAUUUUUAAUUUCCAGAUGUGUUCUCCCCUUUUUAUAAUUAAUAGUGCAUUGUGCUGUCUAUCAUGCGCCCCAGGUGUGUUGUCAGGGACAUGGCGAAGCCCGCUGCCUGCAAAACACCAAGAAAUGCUGAAAACCAACCCCACCAGCCUCCACCGUAAGUAUGGCAUUGGUUUUAUUGACUGGAAAUGUGGCCUCACACAGAUCAUUGGGUACAGAUUUAUUAAUUCACUUUGCAUGUGGAAGUAGAUCCUCUGGCUUUUCUGGUCUGUGUGUAA
rnacentral:lncRNA from 1 species